rfam:Schistosoma rodhaini strain Burundi genome assembly, scaffold: SROB_scaffold0001613
AUCCAGCUGACGAGUCCCAAAUAGAACGAAGUGGCGCACGUCAAACUGGAU